rnacentral:tRNA from 1 species
AAAGAAAUAAUUAAUUUUAAGCUUCUAACUUAAAUAAGAGCAAUAAUAUGUUUAU